rnacentral:rRNA from 1 species
AAAUUGAAGAGUUUGAUCAUGGCUCAGAUUGAACGCUGGCGGCAGGCCUAACACAUGCAAGUCGAGCGGUAGCACAGAGAGCUUGCUCUCGGGUGACGAGCGGCGGACGGGUGAGUAAUGUCUGGGAAACUGCCUGAUGGAGGGGGAUAACUACUGGAAACGGUAGCUAAUACCGCAUAAUGUCGCAAGACCAAAGUGGGGGACCUUCGGGCCUCAUGCCAUCAGAUGUGCCCAGAUGGGAUUAGCUAGUAGGUGGGGUAAUGGCUCACCUAGGCGACGAUCCCUAGCUGGUCUGAGAGGAUGACCAGCCACACUGGAACUGAGACACGGUCCAGACUCCUACGGGAGGCAGCAGUGGGGAAUAUUGCACAAUGGGCGCAAGCCUGAUGCAGCCAUGCCGCGUGUGUGAAGAAGGCCUUCGGGUUGUAAAGCACUUUCAGCGGGGAGGAAGGCGUUAAGGUUAAUAACCUUGGCGAUUGACGUUACCCGCAGAAGAAGCACCGGCUAACUCCGUGCCAGCAGCCGCGGUAAUACGGAGGGUGCAAGCGUUAAUCGGAAUUACUGGGCGUAAAGCGCACGCAGGCGGUCUGUCAAGUCGGAUGUGAAAUCCCCGGGCUCAACCUGGGAACUGCAUUCGAAACUGGCAGGCUAGAGUCUUGUAGAGGGGGGUAGAAUUCCAGGUGUAGCGGUGAAAUGCGUAGAGAUCUGGAGGAAUACCGGUGGCGAAGGCGGCCCCCUGGACAAAGACUGACGCUCAGGUGCGAAAGCGUGGGGAGCAAACAGGAUUAGAUACCCUGGUAGUCCACGCCGUAAACGAUGUCGAUUUGGAGGUUGUGCCCUUGAGGCGUGGCUUCCGGAGCUAACGCGUUAAAUCGACCGCCUGGGGAGUACGGCCGCAAGGUUAAAACUCAAAUGAAUUGACGGGGGCCCGCACAAGCGGUGGAGCAUGUGGUUUAAUUCGAUGCAACGCGAAGAACCUUACCUGGUCUUGACAUCCACAGAACUUUCCAGAGAUGGAUUGGUGCCUUCGGGAACUGUGAGACAGGUGCUGCAUGGCUGUCGUCAGCUCGUGUUGUGAAAUGUUGGGUUAAGUCCCGCAACGAGCGCAACCCUUAUCCUUUGUUGCCAGCGGUUAGGCCGGGAACUCAAAGGAGACUGCCAGUGAUAAACUGGAGGAAGGUGGGGAUGACGUCAAGUCAUCAUGGCCCUUACGACCAGGGCUACACACGUGCUACAAUGGCAUAUACAAAGAGAAGCGACCUCGCGAGAGCAAGCGGACCUCAUAAAGUAUGUCGUAGUCCGGAUUGGAGUCUGCAACUCGACUCCAUGAAGUCGGAAUCGCUAGUAAUCGUAGAUCAGAAUGCUACGGUGAAUACGUUCCCGGGCCUUGUACACACCGCCCGUCACACCAUGGGAGUGGGUUGCAAAAGAAGUAGGUAGCUUAACCUUCGGGAGGGCGCUUACCACUUUGUGAUUCAUGACUGGGGUGAAGUCGUAACAAGGUAACCGUAGGGGAACCUGCGGUUGGAUCACCUCCUUACCUUAAAGAA